CCUACGGGAGGCUGCAGUAGGGAAUCUUCCACAAUGGGCGAAAGCCUGAUGCAGCAACGCCGCGUGAGUGAAGAAGGUCUUCGGAUCGUAAAACCCUGUUGUUAGGGAAGAAAGUGCGUGAGAGUAACUGUUCCUGUUUCGACGGUAUCUAACCAGAAAGCCACGGCUAACUGCGUGCCAGCAGCCGCGGUAAUACGUAGGUGGCAAGCGUUAAUCGGAUUUAUUGGGCGUAAAGGGAACGCAGGCGGUCUUUUAAGUCUGAUGUGAAAGCCUUCGGCUUAACCGGAGUAGUGCAUUGGAAACUGGGAGACUUGAGUGCGGAAGAGGAGAGUGGAACUCCAGGUGUAGCGGUGAAAUGCGUAGAUAUAUGGAAGAACACCAGUGGCGAAGGCGGCUCUCUGGGCUGUAACUGACGCUGAGGUGCGAAAGCGUGGGUAGCAAACAGGAUUAGAUACCCCGGUAGUC
rnacentral:rRNA from 1 species